rnacentral:rRNA from 1 species
CCUACGGGUGGCAGCAGUCGAGAAUCAUUCUCAAUGGGGGAAACCCUGAUGGUGCGACGCCGCGUGGGGGAAUGAAGGUCUUCGGAUUGUAAACCUCUGUCAGCAGGGAAGAACGGUCACUGUGCUAAUCAGCAGUGAAUUGACGGUACCUGCAAAGGAAGCACCGGCUAACUCCGUGCCAGCAGCCGGGGUAAUACGGGGGGUGCGAGCGUUAAUCCGAAUUACUGGGGGUAAAGCGCUCGUAGGCGGUAAUGCAAGGCAAGGGUGAAAUCCCCGGGCCCAACGUGGGAACUGCCGUUGAAACUGGCAAACUGGAGUGUGUGAGAGGAUAGUGGAAUGCCAGGUGUAGGAGUGAAAUCCGUAGAUAUCUGGAGGAACAUCAGUGGCGAAGGCGACUAUCUGGCACAUAACUGACGCUGAGGAGCGAAAGCGUGGGUAGCAAACAGGAUUAGAUACCCUAGUAGUC